GAGUUUGAUCGUGGCUCAGAUUGAACGCUGGCGGCAGGCCUAACACAUGCAAGUCGGGCGGUAGAGGGAAGCUUGCUUCUCUUGAGAGCGGCGGACGGGUGAGUAAUGCCUAGGAAUCUGCCUGGUAGUGGGGGAUAACGCUCGGAAACGGACGCUAAUACCGCAUACGUCCUACGGGAGAAAGCAGGGGACCUUCGGGCCUUGCGCUAUCAGAUGAGCCUAGGUCGGAUUAGCUAGUUGGUGAGGUAAUGGCUCACCAAGGCGACGAUCCGUAACUGGUCUGAGAGGAUGAUCAGUCACACUGGAACUGAGACACGGUCCAGACUCCUACGGGAGGCAGCAGUGGGGAAUAUUGGACAAUGGGCGAAAGCCUGAUCCAGCCAUGCUCGCGUGUGUGAAGAAGGUCUUCGGAUUGUAAAGCACUUUAAGUUGGGAGGAAGGGCAGUAAAUUAAUACUUUGCUGUUUUGACGUUACUGACAGAAUAAGCACCGGCUAACUCCGUGCCAGCAGCCG
rnacentral:rRNA from 1 species